rnacentral:rRNA from 1 species
GGUUAAGUUAGAAAGGGCGCACGGUGGAUGCCUUGGCACUAGGAGCCGAAGAAGGACGGGACUAACACCGAUAUGCUUUGGGGAGCUGUACGUAAGCGUUGAUCCAGAGAUUUCCGAAUGGGGGAACCCACUAUCUUUAGUCGGAUAGUAUCCUUACGUGAAUACAUAGCGUAAGGAAGGCAGACCCAGGGAACUGAAACAUCUAAGUACCUGGAGGAAGAGAAAGAAAAAUCGAUUUCCUGAGUAGCGGCGAGCGAAACGGAAAGAGCCCAAACCAAGAAGCUUGCUUCUUGGGGUUGUAGGACACUCUAUACGGAGUUACAAAAGAAAGUUAUAAAUGAAGCGGUCUGGAAAGGCCCGCCAAAGACGGUAACAGCCCGGUAGUUGAAAUGGCUUUCCCUCCAGAGUGGAUCCUGAGUACGGCGGAACACGUGAAAUUCCGUCGGAAUCCGGGAGGACCAUCUCCCAAGGCUAAAUACUCCCUAGUGACCGAUAGUGAACCAGUACCGUGAGGGAAAGGUGAAAAGCACCCCGGAAGGGGAGUGAAACAGUUCCUGAAACCGUGUGCCUACAAGUAGUUAGAGCCCGUUAAUGGGUGAUAGCGUGCCUUUUGUAGAAUGAACCGGCGAGUUACGAUUUGUUGCAAGGUUAAGCGGAAAAAGCGGAGCCGUAGCGAAAGCGAGUCUGAAUAGGGCGCAUAAGUAACAGGUCGUAGACCCGAAACCAGGUGAUCUACCCAUGUCCAGGAUGAAGGUAAGGUAAUACUUACUGGAGGUCCGAACCCACGCACGUUGAAAAGUGCGGGGAUGAGGUGUGGGUAGCGGAGAAAUUCCAAUCGAACUUGGAGAUAGCUGGUUCUCUCCGAAAUAGCUUUAGGGCUAGCCUCGAGGUAAAGAGUCAUGGAGGUAGAGCACUGUUUGGACUAGGGGCCCUUCUCGGGUUACCGAAUUCAGAUAAACUCCGAAUGCCAUGUACUUAUACUCGGGAGUCAGACUGCGAGUGAUAAGAUCCGUAGUCGAAAGGGAAACAGCC